rnacentral:rRNA from 1 species
GGUUAAGCGACUAAGCGUACACGGUGGAUGCCCUGGCAGUCAGAGGCGAUGAAGGACGUGCUAAUCUGCGAUAAGCGUCGGUAAGGUGAUAUGAACCGUUAUAACCGGCGAUUUCCGAAUGGGGAAACCCAGUGUGUUUCGACACACUAUCAUUAACUGAAUCCAUAGGUUAAUGAGGCGAACCGGGGGAACUGAAACAUCUAAGUACCCCGAGGAAAAGAAAUCAACCGAGAUUCCCCCAGUAGCGGCGAGCGAACGGGGAGCAGCCCAGAGCCUGAAUCAGUGUGUGUGUUAGUGGAAGCGUCUGGAAAGGCGCGCGAUACAGGGUGACAGCCCCGUACACAAAAAUGCACAUGCUGUGAGCUCGAUGAGUAGGGCGGGACACGUGGUAUCCUGUCUGAAUAUGGGGGGACCAUCCUCCAAGGCUAAAUACUCCUGACUGACCGAUAGUGAACCAGUACCGUGAGGGAAAGGCGAAAAGAACCCCGGCGAGGGGAGUGAAAAAGAACCUGAAACCGUGUACGUACAAGCAGUGGGAGCACGCUUAGGCGUGUGACUGCGUACCUUUUGUAUAAUGGGUCAGCGACUUAUAUUCUGUAGCAAGGUUAACCGAAUAGGGGAGCCGAAGGGAAACCGAGUCUUAACUGGGCGUUAAGUUGCAGGGUAUAGACCCGAAACCCGGUGAUCUAGCCAUGGGCAGGUUGAAGGUUGGGUAACACUAACUGGAGGACCGAACCGACUAAUGUUGAAAAAUUAGCGGAUGACUUGUGGCUGGGGGUGAAAGGCCAAUCAAACCGGGAGAUAGCUGGUUCUCCCCGAAAGCUAUUUAGGUAGCGCCUCGUGAAUUCAUCUCCGGGGGUAGAGCACUGUUUCGGCAAGGGGGUCAUCCCGACUUACCAACCCGAUGCAAACUGCGAAUACCGGAGAAUGUUAUCACGGGAGACACACGGCGGGUGCUAACGUCCGUCGUGAAGAGGGAAACAACCCAGACCGCCAGCUAAGGUCCCAAAGUCAUGGUUAAGUGGGAAACGAUGUGGGAAGGCCCAGACAGCCAGGAUGUUGGCUUAGAAGCAGCCAUCAUUUAAAGAAAGCGUAAUAGCUCACUGGUCGAGUCGGCCUGCGCGGAAGAUGUAACGGGGCUAAACCAUGCACCGAAGCUGCGGCAGCGACGCUUAUGCGUUGUUGGGUAGGGGAGCGUUCUGUAAGCCUGUGAAGGUGUGCUGUGAGGCAUGCUGGAGGUAUCAGAAGUGCGAAUGCUGACAUAAGUAACGAUAAAGCGGGUGAAAAGCCCGCUCGCCGGAAGACCAAGGGUUCCUGUCCAACGUUAAUCGGGGCAGGGUGAGUCGACCCCUAAGGCGAGGCCGAAAGGCGUAGUCGAUGGGAAACAGGUUAAUAUUCCUGUACUUGGUGUUACUGCGAAGGGGGGACGGAGAAGGCUAUGUUGGCCGGGCGACGGUUGUCCCGGUUUAAGCGUGUAGGCUGGUUUUCCAGGCAAAUCCGGAAAAUCAAGGCUGAGGCGUGAUGACGAGGCACUACGGUGCUGAAGCAACAAAUGCCCUGCUUCCAGGAAAAGCCUCUAAGCAUCAGGUAACAUCAAAUCGUACCCCAAACCGACACAGGUGGUCAGGUAGAGAAUACCAAGGCGCUUGAGAGAACUCGGGUGAAGGAACUAGGCAAAAUGGUGCCGUAACUUCGGGAGAAGGCACGCUGAUAUGUAGGUGAAGUCCCUCGCGGAUGGAGCUGAAAUCAGUCGAAGAUACCAGCUGGCUGCAACUGUUUAUUAAAAACACAGCACUGUGCAAACACGAAAGUGGACGUAUACGGUGUGACGCCUGCCCGGUGCCGGAAGGUUAAUUGAUGGGGUUAGC